rnacentral:lncRNA from 1 species
GGAACUUCCUCUUUUGGAUCGCAGAGUUGAUGUGCAGAGCGGCUUUUGCGCCCUUCCAAGGAUCGAAGCAGCAGCUGGAAGCUGUCAUGGCUUCAAUCAGGAACACAAUAGCCAUCUUUUUCUUCCUGCUGGAUUGAGAGCCUUCUCCAGGACAUUUGCAGACUUCCUGAGAUCGACACAAUGUGUUCCCUUCCUUCAUCACCAUUCCAAGCUGAGGAUUUCCAUGAACAAAAGUGGUGCUUCAAAUCUUGUAGAGGCUUUCGGCAUCAUUUCAUCAGUUAAAGCCCCCACAUCUCUAAAUUUAGCUCAGAAGGUUUGA